rnacentral:rRNA from 1 species
GACGAACGCUGGCGGCGUGCGUAAUACAUGCAAGUCGAGCGAAGUUUUUCUGGUGCUUGCACUAGAAAAACUAGCGGCGAACGGGUGAGUAACACGUAAAGAACCUGCCUCAUAGACUGGGACAACUAUUGGAAACGAUAGCUAAUACCGGAUAACAGUAUUUCUCGCAUGAGAGAUAUUUAAAAGUUGGUUAUGCUAACACUAUGAGAUGGCUGUGCGGUGCAUUAGCUAGUUGGUGGGGUAAAGGCCUACCAAGGCGACGAUGCAUAGCCGACCUGAGAGGGUGAUCGGCCACACUGGGACUGAGACACGGCCCAGACUCCUACGGGAGGCAGCAGUAGGGAAUCUUCCGCAAUGGGCGAAAGCCUGACGGAGCAACGCCGCGUGAGUGAAGAAGGAUUUCGGUUCGUAAAGCUCUGUUGUUAGGGAAGAAUGGAUAUGUAGUAACUAUACAUAUAAGAGACGGUACCUAACCAGAAAGCCACGGCUAACUACGUGCCAGCAGCCGCGGUAAUACGUAGGUGGCAAGCGUUGUCCGGAAUUAUUGGGCGUAAAGCGCGCGCAGGUGGUUUAAUAAGUCUGAUGUGAAAGCCCACGGCUCAACCGUGGAGGGUCAUUGGAAACUGUUAAACUUGAGUGCAGGAGAGAAAAGUGGAAUUCCUAGUGUAGCGGUGAAAUGCGUAGAGAUUAGGAGGAACACCAGUGGCGAAGGCGGCUUUUUGGCCUGUAACUGACACUGAGGCGCGAAAGCGUGGGGAGCAAACAGG